AGAGUUUGAUCAUGGCUCAGAUUGAACGCUGGCGGCAGGCCUAACACAUGCAAGUCGAACGGUAACAGGAAGCAGCUUGCUGCUUUGCUGACGAGUGGCGGACGGGUGAGUAAUGUCUGGGAAACUGCCUGAUGGAGGGGGAUAACUACUGGAAACGGUGGCUAAUACCGCAUAACGUCGCAAGACCAAAGAGGGGGACCUUCGGGCCUCUUGCCAUCAGAUGUGCCCAGAUGGGAUUAGCUUGUUGGUGAGGUAACGGCUCACCAAGGCGACGAUCCCUAGCUGGUCUGAGAGGAUGACCAGCCACACUGGAACUGAGACACGGUCCAGACUCCUACGGGAGGCAGCAGUGGGGAAUAUUGCACAAUGGGCGCAAGCCUGAUGCAGCCAUGCCGCGUGUAUGAAGAAGGCCUUCGGGUUGUAAAGUACUUUCAGCGGGGAGGAAGGUGUUGUGGUUAAUAACCACAGCAAUUGACGUUACCCGCAGAAGAAGCACCGGCUAACUCCGUGCCAGCAGCCGCGGUAAUACGGAGGGUGCAAGCGUUAAUCGGAAUUACUGGGCGUAAAGCGCACGCAGGCGGUCUGUCAAGUCGGAUGUGAAAUCCCCGGGCUCAACCUGGGAACUGCAUUCGAAACUGGCAGGCUUGAGUCUUGUAGAGGGGGGUAGAAUUCCAGGUGUAGCGGUGAAAUGCGUAGAGAUCUGGAGGAAUACCGGUGGCGAAGGCGGCCCCCUGGACAAAGACUGACGCUCAGGUGCGAAAGCGUGGGGAGCAAACAGGAUUAGAUACCCUGGUAGUCCACGCCGUAAACGAUGUCUACUUGGAGGUUGUGCCCUUGAGGCGUGGCUUCCGGAGCUAACGCGUUAAGUAGACCGCCUGGGGAGUACGGCCGCAAGGUUAAAACUCAAAUGAAUUGACGGGGGCCCGCACAAGCGGUGGAGCAUGUGGUUUAAUUCGAUGCAACGCGAAGAACCUUACCUGGUCUUGACAUCCACAGAAGAAUCCAGAGAUGGAUUUGUGCCUUCGGGAACUGUGAGACAGGUGCUGCAUGGCUGUCGUCAGCUCGUGUUGUGAAAUGUUGGGUUAAGUCCCGCAACGAGCGCAACCCUUAUCCUUUGUUGCCAGCGGUCCGGCCGGGAACUCAAAGGAGACUGCCAGUGAUAAACUGGAGGAAGGUGGGGAUGACGUCAAGUCAUCAUGGCCCUUACGACCAGGGCUACACACGUGCUACAAUGGCGCAUACAAAGAGAAGCGACCUCGCGAGAGCAAGCGGACCUCAUAAAGUGCGUCGUAGUCCGGAUUGGAGUCUGCAACUCGACUCCAUGAAGUCGGAAUCGCUAGUAAUCGUGGAUCAGAAUGCCACGGUGAAUACGUUCCCGGGCCUUGUACACACCGCCCGUCACACCAUGGGAGUGGGUUGCAAAAGAAGUAGGUAGCUUAACCUUCGGGAGGGCGCUUACCACUUUGUGAUUCAUGACUGGGGUGAAGUCGUAACAAGGUAACCGUAGGGGAACCUGCGGUUG
rnacentral:rRNA from 1 species